UAGACCCAGAGGGCCUGGAGGAGGAGCCUCUGCCAGAGCGGAGAGAAGCAGCCUGUGCCUCCCCAAAGGCAGCUCCUGGGGACUCCCAGGACCGCAGGCUGAGACGAGACGCAGGGUGGCUGGAGGAAGUGAGAGGUGAACUCAGCCCGGGACCAGGUGGGCGAGACUCCACCUGCUCCCUGGGACCAUCGCCCACCAUGGCUGCGGCCCAGCAGCUGCGGGCCGAGAGCGACUUUGAACAGCUUCCGGAUGACGUUGCCAUCUCAGCCAACAUCGCCGAUGUCGAGGAGAAGAGAGGCUUCACCAGCUACUUUGUUUUCGUCAUUGAGGUGAAGACGAAAGGAGGAUCCAAGUACCUCAUCUACCGCCGCUACCGCCAGUUCUACGCUUUGCAGAGCAAGCUGGAGGAGCGGUUCGGGCGGGAGAGCAAGAGCAGUGCCCCGGCCUGCACCCUGCCCACGCUCCCAGCCAAAGUCUACGUGGGUGUGAAACAGGAGAUCGCUGAGAUGCGGAUACCUGCCCUCAACGCUUACAUGAAGAACCUGCUCAGCCUGCCAGUCUGGGUGCUGAUGGAUGAGGACGUCCGGAUCUUCUUUUACCAGUCGCCCUAUGACGCGGAGCAGGUGCCCCAGGCACUCCGCCGGCUCCGCCCGCGCACCCGGAAAGUCAAGAGCGUGUCUUCACAAGGCAACGGCAUUGACCGCUUGGCAGCUCCAAGAGCAGAGGCCCUAUUUGACUUCACUGGGAACAGCAAACUGGAGCUGAAUUUCAAAGCUGGAGAUGUGAUCUUCCUCCUCAGUCGGAUCAACAAAGACUGGCUGGAGGGCACUGUCCGGGGAGCCACAGGAAUCUUCCCUCUCUCCUUUGUAAAGAUCCUAAAAGACUUCCCUGAGGAGGACGACCCCACCAACUGGCUGCGCUGUUACUACUAUGAAGACACCAUCAGCACCAUCAAGGACAUCGCAGUGGAGGAAGAUCUUAGCAGCACUCCCCCAUUCAAAGACCUGCUGGAGCUCACGAGGCGGGAGUUCCAGAGGGAGGACAUCGCCCUGAAUUACCGGGACGCGGAGGGGGAUCUGGUUCGGCUGCUGUCGGAUGAGGACGUGGCGCUCAUGGUGAGGCAGGCUGGCAGCCUCCCCUCCCAGAGGCGCCUCUUCCCCUGGAAGCUGCACAUCACGCAGAAGGACAACUACAGGGUCUACAACACAAUGCCCUGAGCUGACGCCGUCCCUGGAGCAGUGAGGGGUCACCAGCAAGAGCCUUCAGCCCUCAGAGGAGAUUAGGACCAGGAACACCUGGGAGGAUGGGGCAGACUUCCCAUCUCCAAGGUGGAACCCCAGAAUGAUGGUGUGAGGAGCUUGGUGGACCCUCUCCCCAGGGAAACAGCAGUUUAACUGAUGAGAAAUACUUUAAAUCAACUAUUUAAAGUCUCUAGAAAUUGUUCUAAGGGCACUGAGCACAUGGAGAUCAUUAUGUCUCAGAACAGCAAGUCGGUGGCAUUUGAGACACACGUGUUCCCAUCCCCCACCCUCAGCCCCAUGUGAUGGGAACUCCACGCCAGAUCCUCUGCUCUGGAUGGAUGCAGCCAGGAAGAUGGGCUCCCUCAUCCCGCAGCUCCUAACCUUCCGCAGUUUCACCCCAGGAGGAAUAGGCUGCCAGAAUCUCUUCUCUCUGCAGUUCUGUGCUGUAGAAGCACUAUUCCAGGUUAUCACAGCAGAGAGGACUGAGUUUCCUGCAGUUCCCAUAAAAAGUACCACAAAAUUGAGCUUAAGCAACAGAAUGGAUUGUCUCACAGUUCUGAAUGCUAGGUGUUCACAGGGCCAUGCUCCCUAUGAAAUCCGUAGGGAAAUGCUUUCCUCCCUUUUCUUAGCUUCUGGUGGUUUGCCGGCAACGUUUGGUGCGCCUAAGCUUGCAGAGGCAUCGCUCUGUCUUCACAUGGUGUUCUCCCUGUGUGCAUUUAUACUGUCUUCCCUCUGCACAUCUGUUGAUGCAUCAAAUUCCCCCUUAUAUGAGGACUCAAGUCAUGUUGGACUAGGGCCCAUCCGAAUGAUCUCAUUUUACCUCGAUUACCUGUAGAAACCUCCUAUUUCCAAAUAAGGCCACAUUCUGGAGUACUAGGGGUUAGUACUUCGUGUCUUU